AGCCUGAAGCAUGGCAAGCGGAGCCCCCGUGGCUUCCAUUGCAUAUUCACAGCACAGGUACAUGGAGAAGCAGGCAGACUGAAGACCCAGUUGGAAUGCAGGAGGCUUCUCACCAUGGCAGGAAAAUUGCCGGGUCAGGGUGUGGGCAGCCACAGUGACCAUCUCGCUGCAGGACGGAAGCAGCUUUGCUGACUGAGAGUCUGCGGCCUGGACAUCCCAGCCGUGCAGGUCUGAGGUCAGCACAGGGGAGCCAGGCCCACCGCUGGCUUUGCCACUCCCAUGGAGCACCAGGAGGGCACGCCAUCUGCUUCCAAUAAGCUGGCCCUCAGCUCUGGAAGGAGGUUGCAAGCUCCAUGGAGAUGGAGUAUGUCUCUCUUCCUCAUGACUGUACCCCUACAGUCCCUCGCAGAGCCUGCCACAGAGUCCAU